GACGAACGCUGGCGGCGUGCUUAACACAUGCAAGUCGAACGGAAAGGCCCUGCUUUUGUGGGGUGCUCGAGUGGCGAACGGGUGAGUAACACGUGAGUAACCUGCCCUUGACUUUGGGAUAACUUCAGGAAACUGGGGCUAAUACCGGAUAGGAGCUCCUGCUGCAUGGUGGGGGUUGGAAAGUUUCGGCGGUUGGGGAUGGACUCGCGGCUUAUCAGCUUGUUGGUGGGGUAGUGGCUUACCAAGGCUUUGACGGGUAGCCGGCCUGAGAGGGUGACCGGCAACAGUGGGACUGCGAUACGGCCCAGACUCCUACGGGAGGCAGCAGUGGGGAAUAUUGCACAAUGGGCGGAAGCCUGAUGCAGCAACGCCGCGUGCGGGAUGACGGCCUUCGGGUUGUAAACCGCUUUCGCCUGUGACGAAGCGUGAGUGACGGUAAUGGGUAAAGAAGCACCGGCUAACUACGUG
rnacentral:rRNA from 1 species